AACAACUCUCCCCUCCUUGCUUCAAUUUCACGUGAAACCAAAAACACCUAAACCCUCAAACUUUGCUUCCCCUUCACGUGAACUCUCAAGACCUUGCUCUCCUUCACGCCGCUGUCCUUGCUGCUACUGCUCACGCCGCCGACCACCGGCCACCCGCAACCACGUCGGACCAUCGCCGCCACGCACAACCACCGAGCACCGCCACCCACUCGUCGUUCCCCUUCGCUGCGCCGCCCACCUGCAGCGUCGCUGCCGCGCCUGUCCAGCCGGAAACCCUCCUUCUCCUCUUGGGUUUCGGUUUCUCUCUCUCCUUGCGUUUUUGGUUCGACCAACAACCACCAGCAACCACCCGUGCCGACACCUGACCCGACCAGCGCCACCUCUGCUAGCCGCCGCUGUCCCCGCCGUGCCCUAGUCACCGCCGGCCAGCACUCCUCCUCUCCUUUUGGCGGAGAAUUCUUUGUGGGUGACUUUUGAAUUCGUUAAAGUGGCCUAUCAGUUUGUUUACACAAGUCUCUAAGGAUCAAUAAGCGUUGCCCAUCUACAGGUUUGAAGAUGAUGCAUCAUUGGGAUCGGGAUUAGAGAGCUUGUAGUUCUAUUUGUUUACUUGAGUGAUUUAAUUUGUUAACUUGGAUUUGAAAUUUGUCGUACUAUUCGUAUUUCCUUAUUUCAGUUAAUUGGUUUGGACCUAAUAUGUAAUAGAUUAUUUAUGAACCUAAAAGUUAGUUUUAUGUUUUCCGCUGCAAAA